AUGAACAUAUUCAAUCAAUCCCUAUCCCAGUCUGUUGUUCCCACAUGCUUCAAGAGGGCCACCAUUGUUCCUGUUCCCAAGAAAGCUAAGGUAACUGAGCUAAACGACUACCGCCCCUUAGCACUCACUUCCGUCAUCAUGAAGUGCUUUGAGAGACUAGUCAAGGACCAUAUCACCUCCACCCUACCUGACACCCUAGACCCACUCCAAUUUGCUUACCGCCCAAAUAGGUCCACAGACGAUGCAAUCUCAACCACACUGCACACUGCCCUAACCCAUCUGGACAAGAGGAAUACCUAUGUGAGAAUGCUGUUCAUCGACUACAGUUCGGCAUUUAACACCAUAGUGCCCUCCAAGCUCGAGACCCUGGGUCUCGACCCCGCCCUGUGCAACUGGGUACUGGACUUCCUGACGGGCCGCCCCCAGGUGGUUAGGGUGGGCAACAACAUUUCCACCCCGCUGAUCCUCAACACUGGGGCCCCACAAGGGUGCGUUCUAAGCCCUCUCCUGUACUCCCUGUUCACCCACGACUGCGUGGCCACGCACGCUUCCAACUCAAUCAUCAAGUUUGCGGACGACACAACAGUGGUAGGCUUGAUUACCAACAACGGCGAGACGGCCUACAGGGAGGAGGUGAGGGCCCUCGGAGUGUGGUGUCAGGAAAUUAACCUCGCACUCAACGUCAACAAAACUAAGGAGAUGUUUGUGGACUUCAGGAAACAGCAGAGGGAACACCCCCCUAUCCACAUUGAUGGAACAGUAGUGGAGAGGGUAUUAAGUUUUAAGUUCCUCGGCGUACACAUCACAGACAAAGUGAAUUGGUCCACCCACACAGACAGCAUCGUGAAGAAGGCGCAGCAGCGCCUCUUCAACCUCAGGAGGAUGAAGAAAUUUGGCUUGUCACCAAAAGCACUCACAAACUUCUACAGAUGCACAAUCGAGAGCAUCCUGUCGGGCUGUAUGGUACGCCUGGUACGGCAACUGCUCCGCCCACAACUGUAA
rnacentral:lncRNA from 1 species